UGAAUCUUGCAGAACAUAAAGACUGCUAGUCUUUUGACCUAUCAUCAGGACGAGAGCUCCACGAGAUACCUUAAUACUACUUGUGUAACAUCCCAAACCCGACCAGGAAGAUCUGACUUGAAUCUAACGUGCCACAUUAGCCACCAAAGUGACUCUCCCUUAUCUCCAAACCUAACCUCCAACACACCACUUAUACAUAGCACGCAAACAUAAUGCUAAUCAUUAACAAAGCGGCAGAAAACACACAAACAAAAAAAUAAGGGUUCACAUGAAAAACAUAUCAAAGUUCACAAUUAUGCGAAACAAUAAAUCCUAACACUUAGAAACAUUCACAAGUUUGUAGCACACUAAAAGGCUUUGCACAACAUUCAAUCACAUCUCGCAUGCAAUGAUUUUUAAAUCUUAAGUUCACAAAACAUUAAUAGUUUGUUAACCACUUAGAUGAUUCAUACAUCCUAGUUUUGCUAAGUAUCGAGCUUCACAAACAAGAUACACAUAAUGAAAAAGACUAACACAUUUAAGUUGGUGAUUAAUAAAGUAAUCAUGCUUGAAUAAAAUCAAUUUAUUAGUUAACAAAUAAAAGGUAAAAUCCAUAAUUUAGUUUGCAAAAAUAGAAUAACUUAAAAACAUAGUGUAAUAGUCAAUUUUGGCCCAGGCCAAUAAAAAUAAAACCCAAAUAAACAAUUAAAAAGUCCCAAAUAAUAAAAAGUCCAUUACAAAAUUAAAACCAAACAAAAAAAAACCAAAUAAAACCCAAACCAACCCAAAUUUUAAAACCUAAUUAAAACCCAAACUACCCAAGCCUAAUUCUAACCCUAACCCAUUACAAAGAAAACAGCAGCAGCCCUAGCCACCAGGCUUCAGCCACCGCUCCUCACCAGCAGGGCCACCACACGCGCCGCUUCGUUGCACGCCAUCUCCUCCACGUGUCACACAACACCUGCAACAAAAUCAAAUGCAACAACGGAGAGAGAGAGAGCACGCGAGCAACAGUGAAGUAAAUAGAAAAAAAAACAAAAAACAGAAACAAAAGGUUGUGAUUUCGGCUAUAAGAGCCAUUUCGAUAUCUCUGUAAUUUUUUUACGAAUAUUGAGCAAUCAAAAAGCAAAAACACAAGAAAAAAGGUUGACUGUUUAUUUCCAUUUCCUUUUUUCAUUUCAUUUCAUUUUUUUAUUUUUUUAUUUUAUUAUGAAUCUAUUUUAAACAAAAAAUAUAAAAGAAGAAACCUCACCUGAAUCCCCACGGAUGCGUCAUCGGAGAGUCUUCUCUGUCACUACAAUCGGUUUUGAAGGGGGGCUGAGGGUUCUCUUCCUUCGUUCUUAUAGGACGCUGAGGGUUUGACCUUCAAAAGGGCUUCGAAAUGGGGUUGAAAUACUCAUUUUUGCACGUCGCCAGCCACUGAACACCGUGGUGGUGUGGCGGGCAGUGAGAACCCGAUCGUCAGAGAAACAAAGGGGGAGAGAGAGUGUUUUGUGGUUCGUUUUUUUUUUCGGGAAAAUAAAAGAGGAAACGGCUGAAUGAAAAAGAAGGAAAUUUUUUGUUUUAAAUCAUCUUUGAAACGGCGUCGUUUGGUGGGGGUGGGGGUCUCUGCAUUCUGCCUAAAGGGGAGAUUU
rnacentral:lncRNA from 1 species